rnacentral:rRNA from 1 species
UGGGGAAUAUUGCACAAUGGGGGAAACCCUGAUGCAGCGACGCCGCGUGAGCGAAGAAGGUCUUCGAAUCGUAAAGCUCUGUCCUAUGGGAAGAUAAUGACGGUACCAUAGGAGGAAGCCCCGGCUAACUACGUGCCAGCAGCCGCGGUAAUACGUAGGGGGCAAGCGUUGUCCGGAAUCACUGGGCGUAAAGGGUUCGCAGGCGGAAAUGCAAGUCAGUUGUGAAAGGCAGAGGCUCAACCUCUGUAAGCAAUUGAAACUGUAUUUCUUGAGAUGUGGAGAGGCAAGUGGAAUUCCUAGUGUAGCGGUGAAAUGCGUAGAUAUUAGGAAGAAUACCGGUGGCGAAGGCGACUUGCUGGACACAAACUGACGCUGAGGAACGAAAGCGUGGGUAGCAAACAGG